rnacentral:rRNA from 3 species
AGCGAACGUAUCACUUAAAGCGAUUCAGCGGGUUACGAUUGACGGAGCGAAGCGACGUCAAAGCGUAUACAAAGUCGAGUCGGUUUAAGGAUACGUUCGUUGGGUAGGGGAGCGUUCUGUAAGCCUGCGAAGGUGGCCUGUGAGGGUUGCUGGAGGUAUCAGAAGUGCGAAUGCUGACAUAAGUAACGAUAAAGCGGGUGAAAAGCCCGCUCGCCGGAAGACCAAGGGUUCCUGUCCAACGUUAAUCGGGGCAGG